UGCUGCGCCGCCCGAGUCCAGAUCCUUCCGGAACAGCUUCAACUGCUUCCCCCUCCUCUGCUGCCUGCCCUGGCUGGGCGCAUCCGCCUCGGGGGUGUCCGGAGCUGGGACCUCUGGGGCCGGAAGGCUCCUCGUCCGCGAAGACGUCGAUGAAGCUGCUGUCGAUCUCCGGGUUGUCCGACUGGUACUCCAUGCCGUUGAGCGCCUCUGUGAUGAGGCUGUCCAGCUUGGCGUCAUCCUCCAUGUCCAGGCCCAGAGAGGCGGAUGACUUGGCCAGGGUCACACAGCCAGCAGCAGAGCAGCUGGGAGCUGAAGGGACAGGCCUCAGGCCUGGAGCACUCUCAGAGACCCUGCUGCCUCUGUGGAGGCGGGGGCUGCCUCCUGAGGUCACAGGACCCUCCCACCGGCCUGAGCUGGUGGUGUCUCAUGCCCCUCCCGGAGUUCCCGCACUACAGCCGCCUGGGGACUCCUAACGCAGAGGCUGGCAGGCCCUCUGUCCCCAGCACGAGGUUGGUACCUGUACUUCCGGCUGGCUCUUCCUGCUGUGCCCAGGGACUGCCUGCACCGGGGAGGAGGGUCCUGCCCAAUUUGGGCCAAGGUCUCCAGGGUGGGCGAGGUCCCAGCCUGCAAACUCCACAUCACACCACCAAAAAGAGUCAUGCCAGCUGGGGGGCCCGGGUGCCCCUUCCUCCUCUGCCCCCACCACUGAGGUACCUCCUGUCCCAUGACCCCGGGAGGAGGGCCCCUUUCCCUCUUCUGGGAUCCACUGCCAGGGGGCAAAGGCCUGGGAGUCCUUGGGGCCAGGAUUCACAGGUGAGGUUUGUUGAGUGAAUAAAUGAUGCUGGGCGUCUGAGCACUUUCCUGAACUGCCUCCCUUGUGCUCACGGUGGCUCAGAGGUGAUCUGUGAUUGUCGCCCUGAAUUUAUGGGUGAGGAAUCCAGGCACAGAGAGGUGGGGAACCCGCUCAAGGCCUCAGCCAGUGUAGGCGAGGUCCUCCUGGGAGGGCUGGCUCCUAGCCCUGCACAUCUCCUGCCCUGCACAUCUCCUGCCCUGCACAUCUCCUGCCCUGCACUGGGCUUAGCCAUGUCCCACAUGGCCCAGACACCCACUGGGGCCAGGCUGCAGGGUUGGGGGUAGGAACAGCAACAGCCAGGCCCCACAUGAAGCCCAGUCCCACAUGUCAGACCCCCCUACCCAUGGCCAGAGUCCUCCAGGAGGUGAUGGAGGAGGAGGGGGCUCAGAGUGGGGACCUCAGCCCAGAUGGAGCAUCAUAAAGGCCUCCUGGAGGAGGUGGCCUUUACGGAGUCCUGGAUGGUGGGGAGGAGUGUUGAGAACACAGCUGUGCCCAGGGGCUUUGUCAAGGGAAGGAGCUGGUCUGAUUUAUCAAGGGAAGGAGUGAGGCCUGCUGGCUCAGCGGCUGCCAUGAGGAACAUCAGGUGACACGCCCGCCUGCUGGCUCAGAGCUGUGGCUGGAAGCCCUGCCCGGCGGGCCCCAGGAGUCGGCUCUCGGGAGGCAGUAGGCAGGCCCGGUUACUGUCCUGAGAGGGAGAGGAAGGCCGGGCGGGUGGGGGCGGAGGGGGCCUCAGGACCAUCAAGACCAGAGCAUCUGUGGCCAGCCUCGGUGCAGGCUGCUGCCUGUACAUACCUGGGGAGUCGGGGGCCCCUCAGCUGGGUCGCCGCACAACUUCCUGAGGAAUGAGAAUUUCUUGGCUGCAAAGAAAAUGGAAAGCAUGUCAGGGCCGAUGUGGUGCAUGGCUCUGGACCAAGAGCCCGAGGAGAAGCCAGGUGGGAGGGAGCGGCUCCUGGGCAGAGCCGGCUGUGGCCUCAGGGCACCGGGAAGCCACCAAGAGCCACCGGGAGAUGGGUGAGCUCCCCUCAGAGGCCAGCGGGCAGCUCAGCUGGCCCGGGGGACCCUGAAGGGUUUAGGGGUCACCUGGCUGCCUCAGCUGCAGCUUUGACGGCUAUCUUAAAUCUCUUUUUGUUGGGUCUUUAUGUACGCAUAGAUUGUGUGUACAUGCAGCUCCGAAGCUCCAGAUUAUUACGAGUUGCAGUGAGAACGCUGCCCCUCCCAUCCCUGCCAGGAUCCCUCCCCAGUCCCGCUGGGGAGACUAGAGGAGCUUCUGGUGUUUCCUCCCAGAGUCCCUGGAUGCAAACACCAGCACACAGGAACACACACUGCCUUUCCUCCUUCCUUCAACAGAAGAUCGUCGGCUACGCUCACUGUUCUGCACCUGACCUUUUUUUCAUGUAACAACAUAUCCUGUAGAUAAUCCCACAACAUUCCGUGAAGAGGUUUCUCACUCUCUGUCCACUCGUCCUCGCAUCCAGGCUGCAGAGCACCCAGACCUGUCUGGAUGGACACUGGGCUGCUGCCUGCAUUCGGCCCUUAGAAACAAUACAGCAAUGGUCACCACAUGGCGACAGCCUGUGCUCCAAACGCUGUGGGCCUAGCUGCGUCAAAGGGCACCUGCGUUUGACUUUGGAAGGAGAUUGUCCAAUUGUCAGUCUCCGUGAUGGUUUUAAAAUAUGGCCACACAUUCUUUAACACUCCUCCCUUCAAGAGGUGGAGCCUCAUUCUCUCCACUUGAACACAGCUGAGCUUACCGCCUCACUGCUAAUGAACAGAAUAUGCUGGAAGGAGGGGUGCUGGACUUCAAGAUUGGGCCCUAAAAGGCACUGCAGCUUCCUCCUUGCACACUUAGAUCACACAUGUGGGGAAGCAGCUGCCAUGCUUUCCGGGCACUCAAGCAGCCCCGUGGAGAGGCCAUGAGGUGAGGAACAGAGGCCUCCUGCCUGUAGCUGUGUGAGGGAGCCAUCUUGGAAGUGGCUUCCCCAGACUCCGUUGGGCCUUUGGAUGAUGCUGCAGCCCCUGCUGACAUUCUGACCGCAACCUUGUGAGGGAAUUUGAGCCAGAACCACCCGCUAGGCUGUGCCUGCAUCCUGACCUUUGGAAACUAAGAGAUAAUAAAGGUUUGUUGUUUCA